GGACUACCGGGGUAUCUAAUCCCGUUCGCUCCCCUAGCUUUCGCACCUCAGCGUCAGUUGCCAGCCAGGACCCUGCCUUCGCCUUUGGUGUUCCUCCGGAUAUCUACGCAUUUCACCACUCCACCCGGAAUUCCAGGUCCCUCUCUGGCCCUCAAGUGCGGCCGUCUUUCGCACCCUCGGGUAGUUAAGCCACCCGCUGUCACGCGAAACGCGCCGCACCGCCUGCAUGCCCUUUACGCCCAGUAACUCCGGACAACGCUCGCCCCCUACGUAUUACCGCGGCGGCUGGCAC
rnacentral:rRNA from 1 species